rnacentral:rRNA from 1 species
AAGCAGCCAUUCAUUUAAAGAGUGCGUAACAGCUCACUAGUCGAGGAGUUUGGCGUGGAUAAUAAUCGGGCAUUAAGUAUUCUACCGAAGCUUUGGGAUGUGUAAACAUCGGUAGGGGAGCAUUCCACUCUGCGUCGAAGGUGAAGCGUGAGCUUUGCUGGAGCGUGUGGAAAAGCAAAUGUAGGUAUAAGUAACGAUAAAGGGGGUGAGAAACCCCCUCGCCGAAAGACUAAGGUUUCCUGAUCAACGCUAAUCGGAUCAGGGUUAGUCGGGUCCUAAGGCUCAGCCGAACGGCGAGGCCGAUGGCAGAACAGGUUAAUAUUCCUGUACUACCUUUAGGAGUGAUGUGGAGACGGAGCAGUGACAGCGCCGCCAUCUGACGGAAUAGAUGGUUGAAGGGUGUAGAUGUUGAUUCCUGUAGGCAAAUCCGCAGGAAGAGUCGAACCUGAUAGUAUACAGCGUUCUUCGAACAAUGUAAUAGUGCGUGUAAACAUACUUCCAAGAAAAUCCGCUAAACUUAAUCCUAACGGUACCCGUACCGUAAACGGACACACGUAGUCGGGUUGAAUAUACUAAGGCGCUUGAGUGAUUCAC